rnacentral:tRNA from 1 species
UUGUACAUGGUCUAUUAGUUAGGAUACCUGGCUUUAAACCAGGCAGCCCGGGUUCGAUUCCCCGUGUAGGAA